rnacentral:lncRNA from 1 species
CUUUUGAAUACUGCUGUGGUUUUGCAGUCUAGUUUCUGGAAGCAUCACGCUGUCUGCCUGUUUGAGACCUGGCCCUCCUUUUUUGACAUCAGGCUUCACCGCCAUCCCUCAGCCAUGCCUCAAAGUUCAAGCUUUUAGUGCUCCAAGGACAACUCUCAUGAAUACAUAAUCUCUCAAGGUGCACUGCGUACCACCCUGCAGGUCAGAUCAGAGGGCCUUGCGGAGAGCGAGCUGUGUGGAAAUACAGGUCAGGUGGCAGGCAGAGCACACUUCGGAAACCAGGCAAGUCCCCGCAAAGUAAAACACAGUGCUUAAGAAAACCCAUUGAAGACCACCGUUCUGAGGCACUGAGGGCCAGAGGAACACGAGUGGACAUGACUUCAAGAAGCCCCAUGUAAGU